AGUCGAGCGAACGAUGAGAAGCUUGCUUCUCUGAUGUUAGCGGCGGUCGGGUGAGUAACACGUGGGUAACCUACCUAUAAGACUGGGAUAACUCCGGGAAACCGGGGCUAAUACCGGAUAAUAUUUUGAACCGCAUGGUUCAAUAGUGAAAGACGGUUUCGGCUGUCACUUAUAGAUGGACCCGCGCCGUAUUAGCUAGUUGGUAAGGUAACGGCUUACCAAGGCGACGAUACGUAGCCGACCUGAGAGGGUGAUCGGCCACACUGGAACUGAGACACGGUCCAGACUCCUACGGGAGGCAGCAGUAGGGAAUCUUCCGCAAUGGGCGAAAGCCUGACGGAGCAACGCCGCGUGAGUGAUGAAGGUCUUCGGAUUGUAAAACUCUGUUGUUAGGGAAGAACAAAUUUGUUAGUAACUGAACAAGUCUUGACGGUACCUAACCAGAAAGCCACGGCUAACUACGUGCCAGCAGCCGCGGUAAUACGUAGGUGGCAAGCGUUAUCCGGAAUUAUUGGGCGUAAAGCGCGCGUAGGCGGUUUCUUAAGUCUGAUGUGAAAGCCCACGG
rnacentral:rRNA from 1 species